rnacentral:lncRNA from 1 species
CGGGGCGCAGGCAGGAACUAAAGAGUGAAAAGGAGAGCACUCACAUUUGGGGAGGCACACAGAGAAGACCUUCUUGUCUUGCAGGGCUCUGGGGAGCAGAGCUAUCUGGGUGGAGUAUGGCCAGAUGUCAGCAGCACCCACAUUUUAGCCAGAACAGUUCCCUAUCUGCAUACUUCCCAUGGACACACAGCAAGGGAGGCGACCAUGUACCUCUGUUUUAAGGACAGGUGUAUGCCUAAGAGACCAGACAGAACAUGCUUUAUGUCCACUAGCUGUGAGCCUUCAGAUAGCAGCCACUGUGUGCCAGGGACUCUAUCCAUUAUUUAUCUGGUCCUCAUGUUCCUCACACUCCAGAGGGAAGGCAGACACCACCCCUACCACACCCCCACAAGGAAGCAGGGCA